CAAACACGCGCGCCAGCGUCCUGCAACUCCCAAAAAAGUAGCGAAACCGAGCAAACCCCCGCGCGCUCCCGCGUCCUCGCUAUUCUCGGGCGCUCCCUAUCUGCUCCCCACCCCCGGCCCUCCCCCCUCCCUCGCACAUCUGACUCCGCCACUCGCUAGGUUUGCAAAAUCGCAACCGCUGCGCCGCUCGGAGUCGGACCUCGGAGAUCUCGUCCCGCCACGGCCGCCAGGUUGUUCUGAUGGGUAGUCCAAUGGGUAGUUUUCUGGACUUGGUUAGCGACCACAACCUAGAAAGCGAUUCGGAGGAAAGUCAAUCUGGAAGUACACAAGUUGAGGAAGAUCUGGCACUUUUAGAUGUUAUGGUGUCCGCCGCGUGAAAGAGUGGAGCCAGGAAUUUCAACCACAAAAGACAGAAGACAAGCGCCACCGCAAGUCCAGGUUCGUCUUCUCCUGGAAGCGAUGAAAGCCACGCUGAUGAUGAAGAGGAAGGUCUCGUUGCAAAGGCCCAGUACGUGGAAACGUUGGAAAAUAUGUGGGCCAAGAAGAGAGAGUUCGAAACCUUCAAAGAGGAUAGAAAGAAAGAGCGCCAUGAUCAGAUAAUGGAACUGGAGAAGAGAAAGAUUGAACUAAAGGAAAAAGAUCUUGAGUUAAGACAACAGAUUCAAGACUCUGCAGUGAUGAGUAUGGACAUUAGUGGUAUGAGUGAGCGACAGCAGAAAUACCUUCUGAGCUUGCAGGAUGAGAUCUUCGCACGACGAUUUGGUGCAGGCUCUGGUUGAGUUGCUUCAUAUGUUCUUGUAUGAACUAUGUGUGGGCAUUAGUUAUUGUCAUAUGAACCCAGUAAUUGUAUGAACUAUGUGUAGAGUAUGUUGUUAGUUGCUUGAUGACUAUAUUAAAGGUGAUCAAUGGGCUCUUUUUGGGCAUGUGAAUUAAUAGGACAGGGCAGAUCUUUGGCCCAUCGUCUACAAAUAUAGAGAGAUGUUAUUUCA